GAACACGUGGCGAAAUUGGCAGACGCUGUAACCUUGCUAAGUUCAAUGAAAAUUGAAGUUAGCAAGUUGCUGACUCAAGAGGUCGUAAGGGUUCAAAUCCCUUCGUGCUCA
rnacentral:tRNA from 1 species